UACGAAGGGUGCUAGCGUUGUUCGGAAUCACUGGGCGUAAAGCGCACGUAGGCGGAUUUGUCAGUCAGGGGUGAAAUCCCGGGGCUCAACCUCGGAACUGCCUUUGAUACAGCAAGUCUUGAGUUCGAGAGAGGUGGGUGGAAUUCCUAGUGUAGAGGUGAAAUUCGUAGAUAUUAGGAAGAACACCGGUGGCGAAGGCGGCCCACUGGCUCGAUACUGACGCUGAGGUGCGAAAGCGUGGGGAGCAAACAGG
rnacentral:rRNA from 1 species